rnacentral:RNase_MRP_RNA from 2 species
CCUUUGCUCAACAAAUCGCCAUUCGAAGCUUACAGACGGAGAUGCUGCUCGUCAGCGUCUCGUGAUAUCUUUUCACGACCCAGGCUUUGGGAGAAAGUCCCCGGACGUCUCCUUUUCGGAGCAUGCGGAAACGCGCCGCCAUAGAAGCACUGCGGCUGACCUCCGCGCCUUGGCCCAGCUGAGGCAUCCUGCCCUGCCUGCUGCUAAAUCCGUCUUCGCGAGACAUUUUUGCCAGCCCUGUUUUCUGCGCCUCUGGCCCCCAUGGAUGAAGAUACGAGUCCGAGCUGGAGGGUGUAGGAGCAGGGCCGCGGCGAUGUCGACUGGAGAUGGAUGGUAGGUGGACGUUAUGGUGUCACGGCUGUGGUAUCGGGUGCAGAGGAUUUGUUGUCGAGGUCGAUAGUUAUGCGAUUGCCCGGCGAAAGCUUGGUUACUCGAUGGGGCCCAUUCUUGAUGCAAAG